CUUUCAGGCUGGAGGUCAAUUUUGGGGAGACGGAGGAAAAGGAGGAGAAAGAGGAAAAGGAAAAGGAGAAGAAAGUGAGUGGUGGAGAAAAUGUCGGUGCUUGUGGAAGAAGUGGAGAGAAGCAGAAGAGGACAAAAGAAGAAGAGGAAUAAAGACGAUGCAGGAGAAAGAGGAGGAACGAAGAUUGGAGUAAAGAAAAAAAUCAUCAUUUUAACGAAGGAAGGAAGUGGAGUAUAAAAGAAGAGA